CGUUCCCGGGUCUUGUACACACCGCCCGUCACACCACGAAAGCCGGUAAUGCCCGAAGCCGGUGGCCUAACCCGCAAGGGAGGGAGCCGUCGAAGGUAGGAUCGGUGAUUGGGGUG
rnacentral:rRNA from 1 species